GAUGAACGCUGGCGGCGUGCCUAAUACAUGCAAGUCGAGCGAACAGACGAGGAGCUUGCUCCUCUGACGUUAGCGGCGGACGGGUGAGUAACACGUGGAUAACCUACCUAUAAUACUGGGAUCACUUCGGGAAACCGGAGCUAAUACCGGAUAAUAUAUUGAACCGCAUGGUUCAAUAGUGAAAGUCGGUUUUGCUGUCACUUAUAGAUGGAUCCGCGCCGCAUUAGCUAGUUGGUAAGGUAACGGCUUACCAAGGCAACGAUGCGUAGCCGACCUGAGAGGGUGAUCGGCCACACUGGAACUGAGACACGGUCCAGACUCCUACGGGAGGCAGCAGUAGGGAAUCUUCCGCAAUGGGCGAAAGCCUGACGGAGCAACGCCGCGUGAGUGAUGAAGGUCUUUGGAUCGUAAAACUCUGUUAUUAGGGAAGAACAAAUGUGUAAGUAACUAUGCACGUCUUGACGGUACCUAAUCAGAAAGCCACGGCUAACUACGUG
rnacentral:rRNA from 1 species